AUGCCGUGGUGUGGACACUUUCGCAGCAUAUUCUUGAACUGAUUCCAGGCUUCAUCGAAAUUUUUUGAGUCUUCUUGGCGAAAAAUAGAGAUGUUGUGCUUGAGCUU
rnacentral:snoRNA from 1 species